rnacentral:rRNA from 1 species
AUUGAACGCUGGCGGCAUGCCUUACACAUGCAAGUCGAACGGUAACAGGUCUUCGGAUGCUGACGAGUGGCGAACGGGUGAGUAAUACAUCGGAACGUGCCCAGUCGUGGGGGAUAACGAAGCGAAAGCUUUGCUAAUACCGCAUACGAUCUACGGAUGAAAGCGGGGGAUCGCAAGACCUCGCGCGAUUGGAGCGGCCGAUGGCAGAUUAGGAAGUUGGUGGGGUAAAGGCUUACCAAGCCUACGAUCUGUAGCUGGUCUGAGAGGACGACCAGCCACACUGGGACUGAGACACGGCCCAGACUCCUAAGGGAGGCAGCAGUGUGGAAUUUUGGACAAUGGGCGCAAGCCUGAUCCAGCAAUGCCGCGUGCAGGAUGAAGGCCUUCGGGUUGUAAACUGCUUUUGUACGGAACGAAAAGCUCUGGGUUAAUACCCUGGAGUCAUGACGGUACCGUAAGAAUAAGCACCGGCUAACUACGUGCCAGCAGCCGCCGUAA